UACGUAGGGUGCGAGCGUUGUCCGGAAUUAUUGGGCGUAAGGGCUCGUAGGCGGUUUGUCGCGUCGGGAGUGAAAACCUUGGGCUUAACUCAGGGCUUGCUUUCGAUACGGGCAGACUAGAGGUAUGCAGGGGAGAACGGAAUUCCUGGUGUAGCGGUGAAAUGCGCAGAUAUCAGGAGGAACACCGGUGGCGAAGGCGGUUCUCUGGGCAUGAUCUGACGCUGAGGAGCGAAAGUGUGGGGAGCAAACAGG
rnacentral:rRNA from 1 species